GCACCCGUAGCUCAGCUGGAUAGAGCGCUGCCCUCCGAAGGCAGAGGCCAAAGGUUCGAAUCCUUUCGGGUGCACCA
rnacentral:tRNA from 1 species